CUCCGCCGUAUCACCGCCUUGGAAGUCUUUUCAACGCAUCGACUCAACGGCUCAGCAGAAAUCCGACAAGACGAAGUCAAGAGGCUUCUACAAAAGCUUUACGGUUUAUCCGUCCAACGUCCAGCUAAAGUAGGUCCAAAUAUCUCAUCUUGAUGAAUAUCAAACUCAUAGAUAAUCAAUCAUAUUGAUUGGUUCGCAAAAAUUUGUAUUAUAUUAUAUACUUCCAUAAUACGAAAAACGAAUAAAAUCCAUUUAUUAAGUUUUAACAUAUUAUAUGAUAAUAUGUUAAAACUUAAUAAAUAUAUCAUAUAUAACAUAUUAUCAUACAUUAAGUUAAAAAAAAAAAACAUAUUAUCAUAUAUUUUCACGUCGUUUUUAGCUAUAACUACUACUUUACAGUUUACAGUUUAUUAUUUUCUUAUAAAUUAUUGACAGUUUCAAAUAGUAAAAUGUUGACAUAGAAGCAUUUUUGUAGUUAAAUUCUGUAUUGAUAAAAUAUUAAUAAAAACAAUAUGUUAUAGUUGAAUUACAAAAUGCAGUCAUUGCUGAAUUCAGCUCUAAAUCUGUCGGUGUUAAUUUUUGAUUGCACGAAUAGAAAUCUAGUUGAAAUAAAUUAUCCUGAUUUAGUAGUUGGAGAACCUACGACGGAACGUUUUCUUUCCUAUUAUACAUAUUCAGACCAAGAAAAGAAAACUUGAUCAGUUUUGAUUUUGUAUCCGGUUAAAGAUAACCAAACCAUAUCAAACCGUAACAAGACCAUAUUAUUAUUCAGGUGGAGUUGCGAACGUUACUAACGGGUCUUACCCUAAACGUUAUAAUGAGAAUGAUGACUGGAAAGAGAUUCUGCGAGGAAGAUGAAGGUGGAAAAGAGAAGAUAAGCUUGGAGUUCCAGGAGCUAGUUGCGGAGAUUCUAGA
rnacentral:lncRNA from 1 species